CCAACAGGGAUUGCCUCAGUAACGGCGAGUGAAGCGGCAACAGCUCAAAUUUGAAAGCUGGCUCCUUCGGGGCCCGCGUUGUAAUUUGUAGAGGAUGUUUCGGGCGUGGCGCCGGUCUAAGUUCUUUGGAACAAGACGUCAUAGAGGGUGAGAAUCCCGUAUGUGACUGGUGGCCUACGCCCAUGUGAAACUCCUUCGACGAGUCGAGUUGUUUGGGAAUGCAGCUCAAAAUGGGAGGUGUAUUUCUUCUAAAGCUAAAUAUUGGCCAGAGACCGAUAGCGCACAAGUAGAGUGAUCGAAAGAUGAAAAGCACUUUGGAAAGAGAGUUAAACAGUACGUGAAAUUGUUGAAAGGGAAGCGCUUGCAAUCAGACUUGCACGGCGUCGAUCAGCCUGGGUUCUCCCUGGUGUACUCGGCGCCGUUCAGGCCAGCAUCAGUUUCGGCGGUGGGAUAAAGGCUCGGGGAAUGUGAGUUGCUUCGGCGACUGUUAUAGCCCCGGGUGCAAUGCCGCCUGCCGGGACUGAGGACCGCGCUUCGGCUAGGAUGCUGGCGUAAUGGUUGUAAGCGACCCGUCUUGAAACACGGACCAAGGAGUCUAACAUUUAUGCGAGUGUUUGGGUGUCAAACCCAUACGCGUAAUGAAAGUGAACGGAGGUGAGAACCCUUAAGGGUGCAUCAUCGACCGAUCCUGAUGUCUUCGGAUGGAUUUGAGUAAGAGCAUAACUGUUGGGACCCGAAAGAUAGUGAACUAUGCCUGAAUAGGGUGAAGCCAGGGGAAACCCUGGUGGAGGCUCGCAGAGGUUCUGACGUGCAAAUCGAUCUUCAAAUUUGGGUAUAGGGGCGAAAGACUAAUCGAACUAUCUAGUAGCUGGUUCACGCCGAAGUUUCCCUCAGGA
rnacentral:rRNA from 1 species